UACGUAGGGGGCAAGCGUUGUCCGGAAUCAUUGGGCGUAAAGAGCGUGUAGGCGGCUCGGUAAGUCCGCUGUGAAAGUCCAGGGCUCAACCCUGGAAUGCCGGUUGAUACUGUCGGGCUAGAGUCCGGAAGAGGCGAGUGGAAUUCCCGGUGUAGCGGUGAAAUGCGCAGAUAUCGGGAGGAACACCAAUGGCGAAGGCAGCUCGCUGGGACGGUACUGACGCUGAGACGCGAAAGCGUGGGGAGCAAACAGGGAUUAAGAAUCGACC
rnacentral:rRNA from 1 species